AUGAGCCAAUUCGUGCCAGAUUGGGGAAACAUGGGCGACAUCUCCAGGCCACUCGGGGAAGACGAUGACCUCAUGGAGCUGCUGUGGUGCAACGGCAAUGUCGUCAUGCAGAGCCAGGGUCAUCGGAAGCUGCCGCCGAGGCCUGAGAAGGUUCCGGCGCCGCCGGUGGUGCAAGAAGACGAGGCCGGCCUGUGGUUCCCGUUCGCCCUCGCUGACUCGCUCGACAAGGACAUCUUCCAGGACCUCUUCUGCGAAGAACCACCGGGGGCGGCCGGCGUCGACGGCUCCAGCAGGCAGCAAUCGAUGAGCCUGGCCGACUGCGGCGACAACGCCGGCGGCUUCCAGUCAGACCUCGUCCAGGCUCGCGCCGGGAAGGCAGCGAUGGAGGAGGGCGCGUCGUCGACGCUGAGCGCGAUGGGGGCGAGCUUCUGCGGGAGCAACCAGGUGCAGGUGCAGGGCGCGGUGAGCGACCACGGGCGCGCCGGCCACGCCACUGCCUAUGGCGACGGCGGAGCGGGCAGCGCUCUGCCCUCGGCGGUGGGGAGCGUAAAUGCAAACGCCAGAGGCAGGGGCCACGAGGCCACCGUGGCCUCCUCGUCGGGGCGGUCCAACUACAGCUUCGGCGUCACCGCCACUACCACCACCACCACCGGCACCGAGCCGACGAGCACGAGCAACCGGAGCAGCAAGAGCAAGCGGGGGCUCGACACGGAGGACUCGGAGAGCCCCAGCGAGGACGCCGAGUCAGAGUCCUUGGUGCUGGAGCGCAAGCCGCCCCAGAAGCUCACGACGGCGCGGAGGAGCCGCGCCGCCGAGGUGCACAACCUCUCCGAGAGGAGGAGACGAGACAGGAUCAACGAGAAGAUGCGAGCCCUGCAAGAGCUCAUACCCCACUGCAACAAGACUGACAAGGCGUCGAUGCUGGACGAGGCGAUCGAGUACCUGAAGACGCUGCAGAUGCAGGUGCAGAUGAUGUGGAUGGGCAGCGGCAUGGCGCCGCCGGCGGUGAUGUUCCCGGGCAUGCAGAUGCACCAGUACCUGCCGCAGAUGGGCCCGUCCAUGGCGCGGAUGCCCUUCAUGGCGCCGCCGCAGCAGGGCCACGGCGUGAGCCUGCCGGAGCAGUACGCGCACUUCCUCGGCGUCAACCCCCACCACCACCUGCAGCCGCCGGCCCACCACCACCAGCAUUUCGCGCAGGGGCUGGGCUACUACCCGCUAGGGGCGAAGGCCCUGCAGCAAAGUCCGGCGCUCCACCACGUGUCCAAUGGCAACGCCGGCGGUGGCACGCCUGCCGCUACCGCCAACGCCACGCCGGGGAACGCGAUACACCCAAACAAAAGAUGA
rnacentral:rRNA from 1 species